rnacentral:rRNA from 1 species
AUGGAUGACAGUUGCGCGGUGUGCGCGGACGCGCUCGAAUGGGUGGCUUACGGGCCGUGCGGGCACCGCGAGGUGUGUUCAACCUGCGUCGUCCGCCUUCGCUUCGUACUCGAGGAUUCUCUAUGCUGCAUCUGUAAGACGGAUUGCCCCUCCGUCUUCGUCACAAAGGCCAUGGGAGAUUACACAAAAGUGAUCUCGGAUUUCUCUGUUUUGCCCACUGAGGCAAAUGAGGGAAAUGUGGGGGAGUACUGGUACCAUGAGGAUACAAAGGCAUACUUUGAUGAUGCUGAUCAUUAUAAGAUGAUAAGGGCGAUGUGCCGACUUUCUUGUAGUGUAUGUGACAAAGCUGAGGACCAGGUUGGUCAGGCAGCACAAGCAAAGCGCCGAAGCAGGUUCAAGAGCAUUGAUCAGCUAAAGGGACAUUUGUUCCAUCAGCAUAGGUUAUACAUGUGUAAUCUUUGCUUGGAGGGGAGAAAGGUAUUCAUUUGUGAACAGAAGCUUUAUACAAGGGCACAGUUAGCUCAGCAUACAAAAACUGGUGACUCUGAGGUGGAUGGCUCUGAGAUUGAACGCAGUGGUUUUGCAGGACACCCAGUGUGUGAAUUUUGUAAAUAUCCAUUAUAUGGAGAUAAUGAGCUUUACACACAUAUGUCCAGAGAACACUAUUCGUGCCACAUAUGUCAAAGGCAGCAUCCUGGGCAGUAUGAUUAUUUCCGGAACUAUGAUGAUUUAGAGAUGCAUUUUCGUAAAGAUCAUUUCCUCUGUGAAGAUGAUGCAUGUUUGGCCAAGAAAUUUGUUGUCUUCCAGAGUGACGCAGAGAUCAAGAGACAUAAUGCUAUGGAGCAUGGUGGGCGGAUGUCUCGUGCCCAGAGGAAUGCGGCACUUCAGAUACCUACCAGUUUUAUAUACCAAAGGAAUGAGCAAGAUCAAAGGCGUGGCAGAGGUAGGGGUCGUAAUGCUCACCAUGACAGACCUGACAGGGAUUUCUCAUUACCUGUGCGGGAUGGCAGUGCAACUGCAGACCAUGGCCUUGGAAGUCGAGUUGAUAGUGUUGCAGGGCCUUUCCAGUCAUUAAGUGUCAGUUCCAGUUCUGGUCGAACAGAAACUGGUCGAAGCUUAGGGAAUGGUCGCUUGCUCGAGCAGUUGUCUUUUCCUCCACUUCAAGAUCAGGAUAUUCCUGAUGCCAGGAUGGAUGCUGUUCCCUAUGGAACCUCGUUUCCUCCCGUCUCAGAGCAGCAAUCAAGGUAUGCGCUGGCUCUUAAUCAGAGCUCAAGGGGUUCUGCGAGGCUUGGUGAUGAAUCAUUAUUCCCUCCAUUGCCUGGGUCAAGUAACAAGGGUUCUGCUUCAACACAACAGGGGUUGCAAAGUCUUGCUAAGAACACACUUGCAUCAAGGCUGCAACAACGUAGUAAGGGCACCGUGAAGGUACUAUAUUCUGCUCAGUCUCAAACAGCUGAAAAUCCUGAGAUUGUACCUCAUGUUUCCACUUCCACCCAGACAUGGCCUACACCUGAGCAGGGGUUACAUCUCUCUGGUUCUUCUCAACUUUGGAUUGUAACUCAAUCAACAAGAGAAAAUGGGCUCAUGCCAUCUGCCUCCAGCGGUUCAGCAUGGAAUUCCAGAGCUUCAAACAAGAUGAAGCACUCUAUUUCGACCCCUAAUUUUGUUUCUGGUGGGUCCUCUGCCCAGGCAUCAAGUACAGCUUAUGGCAAUAAAAAGCAACUGCCACCGCAAAGCAGCCAACCUUUGCCUGUUGUGGAGGAUGUUCGGCAAGCAAACAAAUCCCUUGUGGAAAGAAUGCGUGUUGCAUUAGGAAUGGAUGAGGAUAGGUUCUCUGCGUUCAAAGAAAUUGCUAGUGAAUACCGUCAAGGCGUCAUUGAUACUUCAGAGUAUCUCUCGUAUGUGGAGCAGUUUGGUAUAUCACAUCUUGUUCCUGAAAUGGCUAAGUUGUUGCCUGAUCCUCUGAAGCAGAUGGAACUUGCUGAUGCCUAUUACACCAACAUGCGUUUUAGAAGUCUCCAAGAAAACGACGGUUGUGGAACCAUUACUGUGAAAGAGAACAAGCGUAGAAAUAAGGGGAAGGGAAAAACACCUGAUGCAGAAACAGCUCCUGCUAAGGAUGCAAGUGAAUCGCUAGCUGAUAGCUUUAUGGACACUGUAAGGAAGCUUCAGUUGAACAACAAGGCUCAAGAAGGAGAGGCUGCAGUGCUUUCGAAGGAUGGGUAUCGAUCUUCCAAGGAAAAAAUCCCACUAUCAGCUGGAGGGUCAUCCUGUGGUACAAAUAUGGGUCUAGACGGUGAUCCAGUUGCCAUUUCAAAGGCGUCUGGCACUAGUAGGUAUGUGGGCAAGGGUAGCAGCAGCAGUAACAACAAACAAUCGAAGAAGACAUCAAAGUUUCUCAGAGCUCGGUUGGGUGACAACUCAUUGGCUACACUUGAUUUUAGUCAUCCUGAUGUGAGCCCUGAACGACCUGUAAGGGAGACACAAGUCCUGCAAACUGGGUUGCCUGUGCGAAGUGUUUGGAAGAAUGGUGCAGCACAGAAGCUCUUUUCCAGCAAUGGAAAGAAAUAG